rnacentral:rRNA from 1 species
UACGGAGGAUGCAAGCGUUAUCCGGAAUCAUUGGGCGUAAAGCGUCCGCAGGUGGCAGUUCAAGUCUGCUGUCAAAGACUGGGGCUUAACCCUAGAAAGGCAGUGGAAACUGAACAGCUAGAGUGCGGUAGGGGUAGAGGGAGUUCCCGGUGUAGCGGUGAAAUGCGUAGAGAUCGGGAAGAACACCAGUGGCGAAAGCGCUCUGCUGGACCUGCACUGACACUGAGGGACGAAAGCUAGGGGAGCGAAUGGG